GCCAGGGCCGAAUUUUUGUCCCAGUCCGCCCCUGACUGGGAGGCUGAGGCUGCGGAUCGCUUGAGCUCAGGGCUUCUGGACUGCAGUGGACUAUGUCGAUCGGGUGCCCGCACUAAGUUCGGUAUCAAUAUGGUGCUCCUGGGUGAGCUUGGGACCGCCAGGUCGUUAAAGGAGGAGUGAACCGGCCGAUCAGUAGUGGGAUCGUGCCUGUGAAUAGACACUGCAGUUCAGCCUGAGCGACACAGAGAGACGCAGACUUUU
rnacentral:SRP_RNA from 1 species